rnacentral:rRNA from 1 species
AUUGAACGCUGGCGGGAUGCCUUACACAUGCAAGUCGAACGGCAGCACGGACUUCGGUCUGGUGGCGAGUGGCGAACGGGUGAGUAAUGUAUCGGAACGUGCCCAGUAGCGGGGGAUAACUACGCGAAAGCGUAGCUAAUACCGCAUACGCCCUACGGGGGAAAACAGGGGAUCGCAAGACCUUGCACUAUUGGAGCGGCCGAUAUCGGAUUAGCUAGUUGGUGGGGUAACGGCUCACCAAGGCGACGAUCCGUAGCUGGUUUGAGAGGACGACCAGCCACACUGGGACUGAGACACGGCCCAGACUCCUACGGGAGGCAGCAGUGGGGAAUUUUGGACAAUGGGGGAAACCCUGAUCCAGCCAUCCCGCGUGUGCGAUGAAGGCCUUCGGGUUGUAAAGCACUUUUGGCAGGAAAGAAACGUCAUGGGUUAAUACCCCGUGAAACUGACGGUACCUGCAGAAUAAGCACCGGCUAACUACGUGCCAGCAGCCGCGGUAAUACGUAGGGUGCAAGCGUUAAUCGGAAUUACUGGGCGUAAAGCGUGCGCAGGCGGUUCGGAAAGAAAGAUGUGAAAUCCCAGAGCUUAACUUUGGAACUGCAUUUUUAACUACCGGGCUAGAGUGUGUCAGAGGGAGGUGGAAUUCCGCGUGUAGCAGUGAAAUGCGUAGAUAUGCGGAGGAACACCGAUGGCGAAGGCAGCCUCCUGGGAUAACACUGACGCUCAUGCACGAAAGCGUGGGGAGCAAACA